CAACACUUGUGUUUUGAAAACCAUCCAAGCUGUUAUGUGGUGUGAAAGUGGACAAGGAGAGGCUGUUUUAGUUACCCAGGCGGCAAGAACAGCUCCCAAGAUUACAGCCAUGACAGCAGUUUUAUAUGCAAUGACGCUGGGUCUGGUGUGUAGGGAGGAUCAAAGGUCACCAGCAUCACCGACGGUGGGACAAGAUAAACCCCUUGGCAUGAAACACCAGAGCACUGCCAGUUCUCCAGAAUCGUUCCUCACCACAACCGCAAAUUUAUUUUAGACACCAUCUCCACCAGGAAGCCUACUUUAAAGCCAGGCAGUUCCAAACUCCACGAAGGCACACACGCUCGAGGCUCCGGACUGCGCUGCGCACCUCCCCAUCACAGAGCUCAUCAUACGAUGUUGUAACCAUCGGCCUCGUCUUAGAAACACUUCUGGACUGUAACCUGCCUGAGGGCAGAGACUGUGUCCUUUGUGUGUGAACUCCCAGAAUCCAGUACCUGAAUCCUGGCGUACAGUGGGUGCUCAAUGACAGUUUACUGAAUGAACACGAGCAAAUAGUAUGAAAUACAAUUAAUUCAAUGGUAAUUAUUAGAACAAUGAGACAUAAGCCUUUGAAUCUCAAAGAAUAUCAAGUCAUGCUUUGAUUCAGUCUGAAGAAUGAUACUUACAUACUAUUUUCAGCAAUCUGCAAUUACACACCUGUUCUCAUUCUAACACCCCGCAAAAUCUUACCUAUAAACUCGUGUUAGAGUAUAAUUGAUGGAGAAUGAGCAGUUCUUUGCAGGGCACUUUAGCAAGUACAUGGAAAAUAGCACCCUAGCAACUACACAAAUAAAUAUCGGGAGUCAUAUUUACCAUGUGACAGCAAACUUGGAAUGUUUCAAGUAGUUAAAGAAAUUAGAAGGUUUAGUACCUUUGAAUCCACCCAAGUACCAGAGUCAGGCUAACUUCUGUGAGCUUCUCGUCUGGGGGGAAACCCCAAAAGUCUCCACUUAUGUGAAGCUCUU